rnacentral:rRNA from 1 species
CCUACGGGUGGCUGCAGUGAGGAAUAUUGGUCAAUGGACGAGAGCCUGAACCAGCCAAGUAGCGUGAAGGAUGACUGCCCUAUGGGUUGUAAACUUCUUUUAUAUAGGAAUAAAAUGUUCCACGUGUGGCUUUUUGUAUGUACCUUAUGAAUAAGGAUCGGCUAACUCCGUGCCAGCAGCCGCGGUAAUACGGAGGAUCCGAGCGUUAUCCGGAUUUAUUGGGUUUAAAGGGAGCGUAGAUGGUUUGUUAAGUCAGUUGUGAAAGUUUGCGGCUCAACCGUAAAAUUGCAGUUGAUACUGGCAGUCUUGAGUACAGUAGAGGUAGGCGGAAUUUGUGGUGUAGCGGUGAAAUGCUUAGAUAUCACGAAGAACUCCGAUUGCGAAGGCAGCUUACUAAACUGCCACUGACAUUGAUGCUCGAAAGUGUGGGUAUCAAACAGGAUUAGAUACCCUUGUAGUC